rnacentral:rRNA from 1 species
GACGAACGCUGGCGGCGUGCUUAACACAUGCAAGUCGAACGGGCCUGUCUUCUUUUUUGGGGGGUGGGUUGAGUGGCGAACGGGUGAGUAUCACGUGAGUAACCUGCCCUUCGGUCCUGGAUAACCGCUUGAAAGGGCGGCUAAUACGGGGUGGUCCGGUUGGUCCGCAUGGGCUGGUCGGGAUAGAUUCACUGUUUUUGGUGUUUCGGCGGGGGAUGGGCUCGCGGCCUAUCAGCUUGUUGGUGGGGUGAUGGCCUACCAAGGCGGUGACGGGUAGCCGGCCUGAGAGGGUGGGCGGCCACACUGGGACUGAGAUACGGCCCAGACUCCUGCGGGAGGCAGCAGUGGGGGGUAUUGCACAAUGGGCGGAAGCCUGAUGCAGCGACGUCGCGUGAGGGAUGGAGGCCUUCGGGUUGUGAACCUCUGUUUCCGGUGGUGAAGGCCCUGUCCGUGUGGUGGGGUUGACGGUAGCCGGGGAUGAAGCGCCGGCUAACUACGU